GCCCNGCUAGCUCAGUCAGUAGAGCCUGGGACUCUAAUCCCAAGGUCAUGGGUUUGAGCCCCACGUUGGGUG
rnacentral:tRNA from 1 species